UGAUCCUGCCGGACCUGACUGCUAUCGGAUUGGUACUAAGCCAUGCGAGUCGUUGUACAUACAAGGCGGACUGCUCAGUAACACGUAGUUAACUUAACCUAUGGAUGGGCAUAACCUCGGGAAACUGAGAAUAAUACCCAAUGGACCACAGUGCCUGGAAUGGCCUGUGGUUGAAAUGAUUUAUCGCCGUAGGAUAGGACUGCGGCCUAUCAGCUUGUUGGUGAGGUAAUGGCCCACCAAGGCUAUAACAGGUACGGGCUCUGAGAGGAGGGGCCCGGAGAUGGGUACUGAGACACGGACCCAGGCCCUAUGGGGCGCAGCAGGCGAGAAACCUUUGCAAUGUACGAAAGCACGACAAGGUUAAUCCGAGUGUCUCCUGCUAAAGGAGUCUUUUGUCAGUUGUAGAAUCACUGGUGAAUAAGGGGUGGGCAAGUUCUGGUGUCAGCCGCCGCGGUAAAACCAGCACCUCGAGUGGUCAGGAGGUUUAUUGGGCCUAAAGCAUCCGUAGCCGGUUGCAUAAGUUUUCGGUUAAAUCUAUGCGCUUAACGUAUAGGCCGC
rnacentral:rRNA from 1 species